CCUACGGGGGGCUGCAGUGGGGAAUCUUAGACAAUGGGGGAAACCCUGAUCUAGCCAUGCCGCGUGAGCGAUGAAGGCCUUAGGGUUGUAAAGCUCUUUCAGCUGGGAAGAUAAUGACGGUACCAGCAGAAGAAGCCCCGGCUAACUCCGUGCCAGCAGCCGCGGUAAUACGGAGGGGGCUAGCGUUGUUCGGAAUUACUGGGCGUAAAGCGCACGUAGGCGGAUUAUUAAGUCGGGGGUGAAAUCCCGGGGCUCAACCCCGGAACUGCCUUCGAUACUGGUAGUCUUGAGGUCGAGAGAGGUGAGUGGAAUUCCGAGUGUAGAGGUGAAAUUCGUAGAUAUUCGGAGGAACACCAGUGGCGAAGGCGGCUCACUGGCUCGAUACUGACGCUGAGGUGCGAAAGCGUGGGGAGCAAACAGGAUUAGAUACCCCAGUAGUC
rnacentral:rRNA from 1 species